UAGGGAAUAUUGGUCAAUGGGUGCGAGCCUGAACCAGCCAUGCCGCGUGCAGGAAGACGGCCUUCUGGGUUGUAAACUGCUUUUACCAGGGGUUAAAAUGGUCUUGCGAGACAAAUUGAAGGUACCUGGUGAAUAAGCCACGGCUAACUACGUGCCAGCAGCCGCGGUAAUACGUAGGUGGCAAGCGUUGUCCGGAUUUAUUGGGUUUAAAGGGUGCGUAGGCGGCCCUGUAAGUCAGUGCUGAAAUAUCCCGGCUUAACCGGGAGGGUGGCAUUGAUACUGCGGGGCUUGAGUACAGAUGAGGUAGGCGGAAUUGACGGUGUAGCGGUGAAAUGCAUAGAUAUCGUCAAGAACACCGAUAGCGAGGGCAGCUUACUAAGUUGUAACUGACGCUGAUGCACGAAAGUGUGGGGAUCAA
rnacentral:rRNA from 1 species